UACAGAGGUCUCAAGCGUUGUUCGGAUUCAUUGGGCGUAAAGCGCACGUAGGCGGUCUGUUAUGUCGGAUGUGAAAGCCCUUGGCUCAACUGAGGAAGUGCAUCCGAAACUGGCAGGCUAGAGUACUAAAGAGGGUCGCGGAAUUCCCGGUGUAGAGGUGAAAUUCGUAGAUAUCGGGAGGAACACCGGUGGCGAAGGCGGCGACCUGGGUAGAUACUGACGCUGAGGUGCGAAAGCGUGGGGAGCAAACAGG
rnacentral:rRNA from 1 species